rnacentral:rRNA from 1 species
UACAGAGGUCCCAAGCGUUGUUCGGAUUCACUGGGCGUAAAGGGUGCGUAGGCGGUCAGGUAAGUCUGAUGUGAAAUCUCUGGGCUUAACCCAGAAAUGGCAUUGGAUACUAUUUGGCUUGAGAGUUGGAGGGGGGACUGGAAUUCUUGGUGCAGCAGUGAAAUGCGUAGAUAUCAAGAGGAACACCAGUGGCGAAGGCGAGUCCCUGGACAACUUCUGACGCUGAGGCACGAAAGCUAGGGGAGCAAACAGG